GACGGAGGAUGCAAGUGUUAUCCGGAAUCACUGGGCGUAAAGCGUCUGUAGGUGGUUCGAAAAGUCCACUGUUAAAAAUUGAAGCUUAACUUCAAAGAUGCCGUGGAAACUUUCAAACUAGAGUGUGGUAGGGGUAGAGGGAAUUUCCAGUGGAGCGGUGAAAUGCGUAGAUAUCGAGAGGAACACCUGCGGCGAAGGCGGGUUGCUGGGCUGAUACUGACGCUGAUGCGCGAAAGCCAGGGGAGCGAACGGG
rnacentral:rRNA from 1 species